UUGACCUCGGAUCAGGUAGGGAUACCCGCUGAACUUAAGCAUAUCAAUAAGCGGAGGAAAAGAAACCAACAGGGAUUGCCCCAGUAACGGCGAGUGAAGCGGCAAGAGCUCAAAUUUGAAAGCUGGCUCCUUCGGGGUCCGCAUUGUAAUUUGCAGAGGAUGCUUCGGGAGCGGUCCCCAUCUAAGUGCCCUGGAACGGGACGUCAUAGAGGGUGAGAAUCCCGUAUGGGAUGGGGUGUCCGCGCCCGUGUGAAGCUCCUUCGACGAGUCGAGUUGUUUGGGAAUGCAGCUCUAAAUGGGUGGUAAAUUUCAUCUAAAGCUAAAUAUUGGCCGGAGACCGAUAGCGCACAAGUAGAGUGAUCGAAAGAUGAAAAGCACUUUGAAAAGAGAGUUAAAAAGCACGUGAAAUUGUUGAAAGGGAAGCGCUUGCGACCAGACUCGCUCGCGGGGUUCAGCCGGCAUUCGUGCCGGUGUAUUUCCCCGCGGGCGGGCCAGCGUCGGUUUGGGCGGUCGGUCAAAGGCCCUCGGAAGGUAACGCCCCUAGGGGCGUCUUAUAGCCGAGGGUGCAAUGCGACCUGCCUAGACCGAGGAACGCGCUUCGGCUCG
rnacentral:rRNA from 1 species